GUACGCAAGUAUGAAACUUAAAGGAAUUGCCGGGGGAGCACCACAAGGGGUGAAGCCUGCGGUUCAAUUGGAGUCAACGCNNNAAAUCUUACCUGGGGAGACAGCAGAAUGAAGGUCAAGCUGAAGACUUUACCAGACACGCUGAGAGGUGGUGCAUGGCCGUCGCCAGCUCGUGCCGUGAGAUGUCCUGUUAAGUCAGGUAACGAGCGAGACCCCUGCGUCUAGUUGCUACCAUUACUCUCUGGAGCAGUGGAGCGAAUUAGACGGACCGCCACAGUUAAUGUGGAGGAAGGAAGGGGCCACGGCAGGUCAGUAUGCCCCGAA
rnacentral:rRNA from 1 species